CGGAGGGAAACCGAGUCUUAAUUGGGCGUUAAGUUGCAGGGUAUAGACCCGAAACCCGGUGAUCUAGCCAUGGGCAGGUUGAAGGUUGGGUAACACUAACUGGAGGACCGAACCGACUAAUGUUGAAAAAUUAGCGGAUGACCUGUGGCUGGGGGUGAAAGGCCAAUCAAACCGGGAGAUAGCUGGUUCUCCCCGAAAGCUAUUUAGGUAGCGCCUCGUGAAUUCAUCUCCGGGGGUAGAGCACUGUUUCGGCUAGGGGGCCAUCCCGGCUUACCAACCCGAUGCAAACUGCGAAUACCGGAGAAUGUUAUCACGGGAGACACACGGCGGGUGCUAACGUCCGUCGUGAAGAGGGAAACAACCCAGACCGCCAGCUAAGGUCCCAAAGUCAUGGUUAAGUGGGAAACGAUGUGGGAAGGCCCAGACAGCCAGGAUGUUGGCUUAGAAGCAGCCAUCAUUUAAAGAAAGCGUAAUAGCUCACUGGUCGAGUCGGCCUGCGCGGAAGAUGUAACGGGGCUAAACCAUGCACCGAAGCUGCGGCAGCGACACUGUGUGUUGUUGGGUAGGGGAGCGUUCUGUAAGCCUGUGAAGGUGGCCUGUGAGGGUUGCUGGAGGUAUCAGAAGUGCGAAUGCUGACAUAAGUAACGAUAAAGCGGGUGAAAAGCCCGCUCGCCGGAAGACCAAGGGUUCCUGUCCAACGUUAAUCGGGGCAGGGUGAGUCGACCCCUAAGGCGAGGCCGAAAGGCGUAGUCGAUGGGAAACGGGUUAAUAUUCCCGUACUUGGUGUUACUGCGAAGGGGGGACGGAGAAGGCUAUGUUGGCCGGGCGACGGUUGUCCCGGUUUAAGCGUGUAGGUGUGUGUUCCAGGUAAAUCCGGUUCACUUUAACACUGAGGCGUGACGACGAGGCACUACGGUGCUGAAGCAACAAAUGCCCUGCUUCCAGGAAAAGCCUCUAAGCAUCAGGUAACAUCAAAUCGUACCCCAAACCGACACAGGUGGUCAGGUAGAGAAUACCAAGGCGCUUGAGAGAACUCGGGUGAAGGAACUAGGCAAAAUGGUGCCGUAACUUCGGGAGAAGGCACGCUGACACGUAGGUGAAGUGAUUUACUCAUGGAGCUGAAGUCAGUCGAAGAUACCAGCUGGCUGCAACUGUUUAUUAAAAACACAGCACUGUGCAAACACGAAAGUGGACGUAUACGGUGUGACGCCUGCCCGGUGCCGGAAGGUUAAUUGAUGGGGUCAGCGCAAGCGAAGCUCCUGAUCGAAGCCCCGGUAAACGGCGGCCGUAACUAUAACGGUCCUAAGGUAGCGAAAUUCCUUGUCGGGUAAGUUCCGACCUGCACGAAUGGCGUAAUGAUGGCCAGGCUGUCUCCACCCGAGACUCAGUGAAAUUGAACUCGCUGUGAAGAUGCAGUGUACCCGCGGCAAGACGGAAAGACCCCGUGAACCUUUACUAUAGCUUGACACUGAACAUUGAGCCUUGAUGUGUAGGAUAGGUGGGAGGCUUUGAAGUGUGGACGCCAGUCUGCAUGGAGCCGACCUUGAAAUACCACCCUUUAAUGUUUGAUGUUCUAACGUGGACCCGUAAUCCGGGUUGCGGACAGUGUCUGGUGGGUAGUUUGACUGGGGCGGUCUCCUCCUAAAGAGUAACGGAGGAGCACGAAGGUUGGCUAAUCCUGGUCGGACAUCAGGAGGUUAGUGCAAUGGCAUAAGCCAGCUUGACUGCGAGCGUGACGGCGCGAGCAGGUGCGAAAGCAGGUCAUAGUGAUCCGGUGGUUCUGAAUGGAAGGGCCAUCGCUCAACGGAUAAAAGGUACUCCGGGGAUAACAGGCUGAUACCGCCCAAGAGUUCAUAUCGACGGCGGUGUUUGGCACCUCGAUGUCGGCUCAUCACAUCCUGGGGCUGAAGUAGGUCCCAAGGGUAUGGCUGUUCGCCAUUUAAAGUGGUACGCGAGCUGGGUUUAGAACGUCGUGAGACAGUUCGGUCCCUAUCUGCCGUGGGCGCUGGAGAACUGAGGGGGGCUGCUCCUAGUACGAGAGGACCGGAGUGGACGCAUCACUGGUGUUCGGGUUGUCAUGCCAAUGGCACUGCCCGGUAGCUAAAUGCGGAAGAGAUAAGUGCUGAAAGCAUCUAAGCACGAAACUUGCCCCGA
rnacentral:rRNA from 1 species